rnacentral:rRNA from 1 species
AGAGUUUGAUCCUGGCUCAGGACGAACGCUGGCGGCGUGCCUAACACAUGCAAGUCGAGCGGAGACAGUGAGUAGCUUGCUAUGAGCUGUUUUAGCGGCGGACGGGUGAGUAACGCGUGAGCAACCUUUCCCAGACAGGGGAAUAACACACCGAAAGGUGUACUAAUACCGCAUAAGACCACGGAAUCACAUGGUUCUGGGGUAAAAGAAUUAUCGGUUUGGGGUGGGCUCGCGUCCGAUUAGGUAGUUGGUGAGGUAACGGCCCACCAAGCCGACGAUCGGUAGCCGACCUGAGAGGGUGAUCGGCCACAUUGGGACUGAGACACGGCCCAAACUCCUACGGGAGGCAGCAGUGGGGAAUAUUGGGCAAUGGAGGAAACUCUGACCCAGCAACGCCGCGUGGAGGAAGAAGGUUUUCGGAUCGUAAACUCCUGUCCUUGGAGACGAGUAGAAGACGGUAUCCAAGGAGGAAGCCCCGGCUAACUACGUGCCAGCAGCCGCGGUAAUACGUAGGGGGCAAGCGUUGUCCGGAAUAAUUGGGCGUAAAGGGCGCGUAGGCGGCUCGGUAAGUCUGGAGUGAAAGUCCUGCUUUUAAGGUGGGAAUUGCUUUGGAUACUGUCGGGCUUGAGUGCAGGAGAGGUUAGUGGAAUUCCCAGUGUAGCGGUGAAAUGCGUAGAGAUUGGGAGGAACACCAGUGGCGAAGGCGACUAACUGGACUGUAACUGACGCUGAGGCGCGAAAGUGUGGGGAGCAAACAGGAUUAGAUACCCUGGUAGUCCACACUGUAAACGAUGAAUGCUAGGUGUAGGGGGUAUCGACCCCUUCUGUGCCGCAGUCAACACAAUAAGCAUUCCGCCUGGGGAGUACGGCCGCAAGGUUGAAACUCAAAGGAAUUGACGGGGGCCCGCACAAGCAGCGGAGCAUGUGGUUUAAUUCGACGCAACGCGAAGAACCUUACCAGGUCUUGACAUCCACUUAAACUUACAGAGAUGUAAGGUGUGCUUGCACAAAGUGAGACAGGUGGUGCAUGGUUGUCGUCAGCUCGUGUCGUGAGAUGUUGGGUUAAGUCCCGCAACGAGCGCAACCCUU